rnacentral:rRNA from 1 species
GACGAACGCUGGCGGCGUGCCUAAUACAUGCAAGUCGAGCGGACGAAUCGAAAGUUUGCUUUUGAUUCGUUAGCGGCGGACGGGUGAGUAACACGUGGGCAACCUGCCCUGUAGACGGGGAUAACACCGAGAAAUCGGUGCUAAUACCGGAUAACACGAAAUGUCGCAUGACGUUUCGUUGAAAGACGGCGCAAGCUGCCGCUACAGGAUGGGCCCGCGGCGCAUUAGCUAGUUGGUGAGGUAACGGCUCACCAAGGCGACGAUACGUAGCCGACCUGAGAGGGUGAUCGGCCACACUGGGACUGAGACACGGCCCAGACUCCUACGGGAGGCAGCAGUAGGGAAUCUUCCGCAAUGGACGAAAGUCUGACGGAGCAACGCCGCGUGAGCGAAGAAGGCCUUCGGGUCGUAAAGCUCUGUUGUUAGGGAAGAACAAGUAACGCAGUAACUGGCGUUACCGUGACGGUACCUAACGAGAAAGCCACGGCUAACUACGUG